GUGCUACGCUGUUAGAACAAUUCAUCUGAGCAUUCAGGUGUUACCUAUUAUAAGCUGCCAAAAGACCAAGCAGUGCGAAGCUCUUGGCUGACAGUGGUGCCUGCUAAUUUCCACUGCAAGGAUUUCGUCCACGAAUGUUAUCAUAGGUUACGCGCGACUCCAGAGGCAAUUUGGAAUCUCGGCACGAAAUCGCCUGAUGAAAAUCUGAGGUGCCCGACGCACAACAUUUUGAACGUGCCACGGAGGAUCAAGGCAAAAAAACGAGAGCAAAAAAAGGUGCACGCUGAAGGCGUAAAUGAAGCAUGAUGUGGCUUGCAUCUGGUGCAUGAAGAAAUUGCUGACACGUUAGUUGCAGUCUACCUCCACCAACAGGGUGGAAAACAAAGGUCGCCAUUCCGA